rnacentral:rRNA from 1 species
AAUUUUGGACAAUGGGGGAAACCCUGAUCCAGCCAUCCCGCGCGCAUGAUGAAGGCCNNNGGGUUNUAACGUACUUUUGGCUGNGAANAAAAGGUAUCCCCUAAUACGGGAUACUGCUGACGGUAUCUGCAGAUUAGGCACCGGCUAACUACGUGCCAGCAGCCGCGGUAAUACGUAGGGUGCAAGCGUUAAUCGGAAUUACUGGGCGUAAAGCGUGUGUAGGCGGUUAGGAAAGAAAGAUGUGAAAGCCGAGGGCUCAACCUUGGAACUGCAUGUUUAACUGCCGAGCUAGAGUAUGUCAGAGGGGGGUAGAAGUCCACGGGUAGCAGUGAAAUGCGUAGAUAUGUGGAGGAAUACCGAUGGCGAAGGCAGCCCCCUGGGAUAAUACUGACGCUCAGACACGAAAGCGUGGGGAGCAAACAGG